rnacentral:rRNA from 1 species
AGAGUUUGAUCCUGGCUCAGAACGAACGCUGGCGGCAUGCCUAACACAUGCAAGUCGGACGCUCCGGGGGUUUCGGCUUCCGGGGAGUGGCGCACGGGUGAGUAGCGCGUGGGAACCUGUCCUUUUGUGGGGGAUAACCGAGGGAAACUUCGGCUAAUACCGCAUGCGCCCCUGGGCAACCGGGGGGAAAGAUUUUAUCG